rnacentral:rRNA from 1 species
UACGUAGGGUGCGAGCGUUAAUCGGAAUUACUGGGCGUAAAGCGUGCGCAGGCGGUAAGUUAAGUCUGAUGUGAAAGCCCCGGGCUCAACCUGGGAAUGGCAUUGGAAACUGGCUUGCUAGAGUGUGGCAGAGGGGGGUGGAAUUCCGCGUGUAGCAGUGAAAUGCGUAGAGAUGCGGAGGAGCACCGAUGGCGAAGGCAGCCCCCUGGGCCAACACUGACGCUCAGGCACGAAAGCGUGGGGAGCAAACAGG